rnacentral:rRNA from 1 species
AACGAACGCUGGCGGCAGGCUUAACACAUGCAAGUCGAACGCACCGCAAGGUGAGUGGCAGACGGGUGAGUAACACGUGGGGAUCUGCCCAAUGGUACGGAAUAGCUCCGGGAAACUGGAAUUAAUACCGUAUGUGCCCUUCGGGGGAAAGAUUUAUCGCCAUUGGAUGAACCCGCGUCGGAUUAGCUAGUUGGUGAGGUAAAGGCUCACCGAGGCGACGAUCCGUAGCUGGUCUGGGAGGAUGAUCAGCCACACUGGGCCUGAGACACGGCCCAGACUCCUACGGGAGGCAGCAGUGGGGAAUAUUGGACAAUGGGCGCAAGCCUGAUCCAGCAAUGCCGCGUGGGUGAUGAAGGCCUUCGGGUCGUAAAGCUCUUUCGCCGGUGAAGAUAAUGACGGUAACCGGAGAAGAAGCCCCGGCUAACUUCGUGCCAGCCGCCGCCGUAAAAC